GAUGGAGAACUUUCCUUGCAUAAUGGAAAAUCAGUAUCUUAAAUAAAGGACUUGGAGUGGAACUUAGAGACAAAGGUAUCAAAGGAUACAUGUCCAAGUAGAAAGUAAAACCGAUUCAACAACAUUCAUUUCGUUUGACAAAGCGACUGAGAAAUUUGUAUCUAAGAUUGUAAAAGAACUUGCAGAGAUAUAAGCAGAGGUAAUUUCAAUUAGAAAUAUCAAUUCUAUUUCCGUAGCUUUUCCUCUUACAUACAUUAUCCCCAAUCUGUCCUUGCACUCAAAAACAAUGCCAGUCAAUUUUAUUUCUAUUAGCAAAACACUUGCACUUUAUUAGCAUCAUUAUUUGAACAAUUAACCAUCCACCCCCUUUCAUAUUUUACUAUUACAUUAAGUGAAAUAAACCAACCUUCAAAAACAAUUUUGUUCUUCAAAAAACACACAGAAUCUCAUGCAAAGCGUUAAUCAUGAUGUAUGUAUGUUUACUUUGCUAAAUUUAUGAGCUCUUAGGUUUUCUUCUUUUCCUAUUACUAACCAAUCAUAUUGACAGUUUAUGCCUGAUGUGUUAGUGUACAAUAUUGUUGAUUAAAAUCAUAAUGGUUGUUGAGGUUGUACUACUCUUUGUAUUUCUAUGGUAGGUAACGUAGAAGUAACAACCAUAUAGUUUAUCUCUACUAUAUACAAUCUCUUCUACCAAAAAAAAAAAAAAAAAAAAAAAUUGGGGGGGAG